UACGGAGGAUGCGAGCGUUAUCCGGAUUUAUUGGGUUUAAAGGGUGCGUAGGCGGACUGUCGAGUCAGCGGUAAAAUUGAGAGGCUCAACCUCUUCCCGCCGUUGAAACUGGUGGUCUUAGUGGAUGAGAAGUACGCGGAAUGCGUGGUGUAACGGUGAAAUGCAUAGAUAUCACGCAGAACUCCGAUUGCGAAGGCAGCGUACCGGCAUCCAACUGACGCUGAGGCACGAAAGCGUGGGGAUCAAACAGG
rnacentral:rRNA from 1 species